rnacentral:rRNA from 1 species
GAACACCAGUGGCGAAGGCGGCUUACUGGCUCGAUACUGACGCUGAGGUGCGAAAGUGUGGGGAGCAAACAGGAUUAGAUACCCUGGUAGUCCACACCGUAACGAUGAAUUGCGCGGGUUUACAAUUCACACAGGAAACAGUCUAUGACCAUGAGUACGGCAAGCUAUCUAGGGAGCACUAUAGAAUAGUCAAGAUAUGCAUCCAACGCGUUGGGAGCUCUCCCAUAUGGUGGACAUGCAGGCGGCCGGGAAUUCAGUAGUGAUUACUCUUUAAGCCCAGUAAUUCCGAACUACGCUAGGUCCGUUCGUAUUACCGCGGCUGCUGGCACGAAGUUAGCCGGACCUUCUUAUUCGGGUACAGUCAUUUUAUUCCCGGAAGAAAGAGUUUUACAACCCAAAGGCCUUCUUCACUCACGAGGCAUCGAUGCAUCAGGGUUUCCCCCAUUGUGCAAGAUUCCCCAGGGGUGCCUCCCGUAGGAGUUUGGGCCGUGUCUCAGUCCCAAUGUGGGUGGUCUUCCUCUAAGAACAGCUAUUGAUAGUAGCCUUGGUAAGCUAUUACCUUACCAAUUAGAUAAUCAAGUGCGGGUUCAUCUUUUGGCAUUAAAACUUUCCGUGUGAAGGCUUAUCCGGUAUUAGCACAGGUUUCCCCGUGUUAUUCCAGACCAAAAGGCAGAUUCCCACAUUAUAGUCACCCGUUGGCCACUCAGUAUUGAUAUUGCGUUGGACUUGCAUCUGUUAGGCGUGCCGCCAGCGUACGUUGUGAGCCAGGAUCAAACUCU